CGCCAGAAUUUCGACGACUCGCAGUUGACUGACACCAGGGCCAAGUUCAUUCUUAGAACGUUUUGCACCGGGCUUUGAGUGAGUCAUCCUCCGAAGGUCAGCAAAUGGCGACCCUGUUUUCAGAGCUUUCGUGCCCACCACAGGUCCUCGAUCCUGGCUUCCACCCCAGCCCUUGUGGUUCAGUAGUUUGCACGGCAGGACCAGAGGGCAGCUGCAUCAAGACUUGCAUCAGGCCAGCCAUGCUAAAAGGUGAUGCUGACGUGCGUGCCCAAUCGGAUCAAGCGAAUGCGCUGAUUUUGACUUGAGGGAAGAGCUACACUUGCGGAUGGACUGAUGCCAUACUGAGAGAGCUGACUGGUGGAGGUGGAUGUCCUCAUUGGUUGUUGUGACUAGCUCCCAGAGUCCACAGCCCAGUCCAUUCCUACCUGUGUAUGACAAACAAGACAGAGAGAAGCAGUGUGUGCUGAUGCAUGUUGACAUUUAUACACACUCCUUUCAAGACAGAGAACCAUGGAUUUACAUCUUUUGACCUUCUAGACUUCAUACUGGGGAUUUCCAGAUGUGCCCCCACAAUAUGGCUUUCAAUCCCAAUGUUAGCAGAGUUAAUGGUCAAAGAGAAGGCUUUAUU